UCCCCCCCCCCCCUAAGAGGUCAGACCUGCCCAGUGAUAUUAGAUUAAAUGGCCGCGGUAUUUUGACCGUGCUAAGGUAGCGCAAUCACUUGUCAUUUAAAUGAAGACCAGUAUGAAUGGUUCAACGAGGGCUAAACUGUCUCCCCCCUUUGGUCCAUGAAAUUGAUUUCCCCGUGCAGAAGCGGGGAUAGACACAUAAGACGAGAAGACCCUGUGGAGCUUAAGAUAAACUUAUGCACCAAGUCAAUAAGGCCUAUAACACUAGACAAACUAAUUGACCCCCAUAAAAUAUUUUUGGUUGGGGCGACCCUGAGGAAAACAAAACCCCCAUGUGGACUAAAGACACCUUAAUACUAUAUUUUCUAAUCCUUAAAACCCAGAAAGCCAUUUCAAAUUAGCAGAAUUUCUGACCUGCAGGAUCCGGAAUUACCGAUCAACGAACCUAGUUACCCCAGGGAUAACAGCGCAAUCCCCUCCUAGAGCCCUUAUCGACGAGGGGGUUUACGACCU
rnacentral:rRNA from 1 species